rnacentral:SRP_RNA from 1 species
GGUUGGCCCCUCCGCGACGAAAAAUUGUAAACCCCGUCAGGCCUGGAAGGGAGCAGCGGUAGCAGUGGACUCGGGUGCCGGAACCUGGCUGGCCGGC